UACGUAGGGUGCAAGCGUUAUCCGGAUUCACUGGGUUUAAAGGGUGCGUAGGCGGGCAGGUAAGUCAGUGGUGAAAUCCCCGAGCUUAACUCGGGAACUGCCAUUGAUACUAUCUGUCUUGAAUAUUGUGGAGGUAAGCGGAAUAUGUCAUGUAGCGGUGAAAUGCUUAGAUAUGACAUAGAACACCAAUUGCGAAGGCAGCUUACUACACAACGAUUGACGCUGAGGCACGAAAGCGUGGGGAUCAAACAGG
rnacentral:rRNA from 1 species